rnacentral:rRNA from 2 species
UACGGAGGGGGCUAGCGUUGUUCGGAAUUACUGGGCGUAAAGCGCACGUAGGCGGAUAGUUAAGUUAGAGGUGAAAGCCCAGGGCUCAACCCUGGAACUGCCUUUAAUACUGGCUGUCUAGAGAUCGAGAGAGGUGAGUGGAAUUCCGAGUGUAGAGGUGAAAUUCGUAGAUAUUCGGAGGAACACCAGUGGCGAAGGCGGCUCACUGGCUCGAUACUGACGCUGAGGUGCGAAAGCGUGGGGAGCAAACAGG